UACGGAGGGAGCUAGCGUUGUUCGGAAUUACUGGGCGUAAAGCGUGCGCAGGCGGUUAUGUAAGACAGAUGUGAAAUGCCCGGGCUUAACCUGGGAACUGCAUUUGUGACUGCAUGGCUAGAGUUUGGCAGAGGGGGGGUAGAAUUCCACGUGUAGCAGUGAAAUGCGUAGAUAUGUGGAGGAACACCGAUGGCGAAGGCAGCCCCCUGGGUCAAGACUGACGCUCAUGCACGAAAGCGUGGGGAGCAAACAGG
rnacentral:rRNA from 1 species